ensembl:lncRNA
GCAGUAUUAAUACAUUAAGGCAAACGUUAAAUAUGUCUGUAAAAUAGUAAUAUACUUAUGUCACAAUUUCUUCAAGUUAAACCAGACUUUCAUUUUGAUGGGUUCCUGUGAAGACCUUUAAGUUUCUGUGUGUAUAUAUGACGGUAGUUUUUUCUCAAAAUAUCAUGCAUCAGAUCUUUUUUCCAGCAUCUCGGAAAUCAUAGGACCCUAAUAAUAUAUAUUGUUUAGUAUUUUACAUUUUUUGCUUUGUCCAUUUUAGUGGCAUGUGACUAUAGACAGAUGUAAUAUCUAAUGCAUUUUUUGUCUAAUGUAUAUUUUUUUGUUCUUCUGAAGGCCAAAGGAUGUUAUUGAAGGUUUGGUGACCUUUCACUCUCUGCUGCCCCCUCAGGCCAGCCGCAGAAUUGUUGCCCAAAUGUUUUUGAGAUUGCUAGGUAAGAUUAUGGCAGAGGAUUUACCAUUCUAUAAUGCCUGACAAAAUCAGUGAAAGAAAUUAAGAAAUUGAGAUUUUGCUAAAAAAAAAAAAAAUAAAAAAUAGGAGCACUGGGACUGUUCUCAGAGGGAUGAUUGACUUGUAGCCCACCUACCGAAAUCAAAUUUAUUUUCAACUGAAACAUACAAAGACUUAUACUGGUCAGGUAUACAGUAGGUGACAUGUUCCACCCCAUCCAUAUGCUGUCUUGUCUUGUGUUUACAGAGGAAAUAGUCGCAGGACAGGUCACAGUGCGACAGGACGAGCCGUAUGGUGACAUCAUCAUCUCACAGCUGUAGAUCGAUGAGGACUGAUGAGGACUUGCCAUUGUUUCAGGACAAAACUGGUUCAUCUCAACAACACAACUGUGCAAUAUAUAUUUAUCAGUUUGUUUACCACUAAUCAGUUUUGGCACAAAGUACAUUAGGCACUAGGUUUACCACAAAUACCAGCGUAGACAGAAAUGAAUAUGCUAAAAUACAUUUUUGUAAUUAUUUCACAUACCUUCAUUAUAUGGAUCUGGACAAUCAACUUUGUCAUAAAUAUCAAAAUCACAAUUCAGUUUAAUCCAAAUUUGUUCUCAUUCUAGAACAGUCACAUAAAAAUGAACAUUUUCCUUACUACAACUUUAGCUCUAACAGUGCAAAAGUCUAGAGACAUUUAUGCUAAACCCAGGGAAAUCUUUUUCUAAAAAUUAUCUUGGAAAAUAAACCAAAGCCCCUAAAAAGAAGAAGAAGAAGA